rnacentral:rRNA from 1 species
GAGUUUGAUCCUGGCUCAGGAUGAACGCUAGCGGCAGGCCUAACACAUGCAAGUCGAGGGGUAACAUUGGUGCUUGCAUCAGAUGACGACCGGCGCACGGGUGAGUAACGCGUAUGCAACCUACCUUCUACAGGGAGAUAGCCCGGAGAAAUUCGGAUUAAUACCCCAUACGAUUAAUAUCACACAAGUGACUUUAAGGAAAGCUUUGGCGGUAGAAGAUGGGCAUGCGUUCUAUUAGUUUGUUGGUAAGGUAACGGCUUACCAAGACUUCGAUAGAUAGGGGGCCUGAGAGGGUGAACCCCCACACUGGUACUGAGACACGGACCAGACUCCUACGGGAGGCAGCAGUGAGGAAUAUUGGACAAUGGAGGCAACUCUGAUCCAGCCAUGCCGCGUGCAGGAAGAAUGCCCUAUGGGUUGUAAACUGCUUUUAUUUAGGAAGAAACGCCAGUACGUGUACUGGUUUGACGGUACUAAACGAAUAAGGACCGGCUAACUCCGUGCCAGCAGCCGCGGUAAUACGGAGGGUCCAAGCGUUAUCCGGAAUCAUUGGGUUUAAAGGGUCCGCAGGCGGGCUAUUAAGUCAGUGGUGAAAUCUCUUGGCUUAACCAAGAAAUUGCCAUUGAAACUACUAGUCUUGAAUUCGGUCGAAGUGGGCGGAAUGUGUCAUGUAGCGGUGAAAUGCAUAGAUAUGACACAGAACACCGAUAGCGAAGGCAGCUCACUAGGCCUGAAU